rnacentral:rRNA from 1 species
CAGCCGCCACGGUAAUACGGAGGGGGCUAGCGUUGUUCGGAAUUACUGGGCGUAAAGCGUACGUAGGCGGCUUUGUAAGUUAGAGGUGAAAGCCCGGAGCUCAACUCCGGAAUUGCCUUUAAGACUGCAUCGCUUGAAUCGUGUAGAGGUGAGUGGAAUUCCGAGUGUAGAGGUGAAAUUCGUAGAUAUUCGGAAGAACACCAGUGGCGAAGGCGGCUCACUGGACGCGUAUUGACGCUGAGGUACGAAAGCGUGGGGAGCAAACAGUAUUAGAUACCCGCGUAGUCCCUGUCUCUUAUAC